CAGAAAGUAGUUUAUAUAAAAUAUUAGUUUUGGGGACUAGUGAUGGGAAAGUUUCUCCUUUCUGA